rnacentral:rRNA from 1 species
UACGUAGGGGGCAAGCGUUGUCCGGAAUCAUUGGGCGUAAAGCGCGCGUAGGCGGCCCGGUAAGUCCGUUGUGAAAGUCAAAGGCUCAACCUUUGAACGCCGAUGGAUACUGCCGGGCUAGAGUCCGGAAGAGGCGAGUGGAAUUCCUGGUGUAGCGGUGGAAUGCGCAGAUAUCAGGAGGAACACCAAUAGCGAAGGCAGCUCGCUGGGACGGUACUGACGCUGAUGAGCGAAAGCCAGGGGAGCAAACGGGG